rnacentral:tRNA from 1 species
ACCCGGCUGGCUCAGUGGGUGAAGCGUGUGACUCUUGAUCUCAGGGUUGUGAGUUCGAGGCUCAUGUUGGGUG